rnacentral:rRNA from 1 species
UACGUAGGGAGCAAGCGUUGUCCGGAAUCAUUGGGCGUAAAGCGCGCGUAGGCGGCCCCGUAAGUCCGCUGUGAAAGUCAAAGGCUCAACCUUUGAAAGCCGGUGGAUACUGUGGGGCUAGAGUCCGGAAGAGGCGAGUGGAAUUCCUGGUGUAGCGGUGAAAUGCGCAGAUAUCAGGAGGAACACCGGUGGCGAAGGCGGGUCUCUGGGCCGUAACUGACGCUGAGGAGCGAAAGCGUGGGGAGCGAACAGG